GGGAAGUAGCUUGCUACUUUGCCGGCGAGCGGCGGACGGGUGAGUAAUGUCUGGGAAACUGCCUGAUGGAGGGGGAUAACUACUGGAAACGGUAGCUAAUACCGCAUGACCUCGCAAGAGCAAAGUGGGGGACCUUCGGGCCUCACGCCAUCGGAUGUGCCCAGAUGGGAUUAGCUAGUAGGUGAGGUAAUGGCUCACCUAGGCGACGAUCCCUAGCUGGUCUGAGAGGAUGACCAGCCACACUGGAACUGAGACACGGUCCAGACUCCUACGGGAGGCAGCAGUGGGGAAUAUUGCACAAUGGGCGCAAGCCUGAUGCAGCCAUGCCGCGUGUGUGAAGAAGGCCUUAGGGUUGUAAAGCACUUUCAGCGAGGAGGAAGGGUUCAGUGUUAAUAGCACUGUGCAUUGACGUUACUCGCAGAAGAAGCACCGGCUAACUCCGUGCCAGCAGCCGCGGUAAUACGGAGGGUGCAAGCGUUAAUCGGAAUUACUGGGCGUAAAGCGCACGCAGGCGGUUUGUUAAGUCAGAUGUGAAAUCCCCGAGCUUAACUUGGGAACUGCAUUUGAAACUGGCAAGCUAGAGUCUUGUAGAGGGGGGUAGAAUUCCAGGUGUAGCGGUGAAAUGCGUAGAGAUCUGGAGGAAUACCGGUGGCGAAGGCGGCCC
rnacentral:rRNA from 1 species